UGGGUAGUAAAAAAAUCGUAACAAGGUCUCCGUUGGUGAACCAGCGGAGGGAUCAUUACCGAGUUUACAACUCCCAAACCCAAUGUGAACGUUACCAAACUGUUGCCUCGGCGGGGUCACGCCCCGGGUGCGUCGCAGCCCCGGAACCAGGCGCCCGCCGGAGGAACCAACCAAACUCUUUCUGUAGUCCCCUCGCGGACGUAUUUCUUACAGCUCUGAGCAAAAAUUCAAAAUGAAUCAAAACUUUCAACAACGGAUCUCUUGGUUCUGGCAUCGAUGAAGAACGCAGCGAAAUGCGAUAAGUAAUGUGAAUUGCAGAAUUCAGUGAAUCAUCGAAUCUUUGAACGCACAUUGCGCCCGCCAGUAUUCUGGCGGGCAUGCCUGUCCGAGCGUCAUUUCAACCCUCGAACCCCUCCGGGGGAUCGGCGUUGGGGAUCGGGACCCCUCACACGGGUGCCGGCCCCGAAAUACAGUGGCGGUCUCGCCGCAGCCUCUCCUGCGCAGUAGUUUGCACAACUCGCACCGGGAGCGCGGCGCGUCCACGUCCGUAAAACACCCAACUUUCUGAAAUGUUGACCUCGGAUCAGGUAGGAAUACCCGCUGAACUUAAGCAUAUCAAAGCGGGAANGAAA
rnacentral:rRNA from 1 species